rnacentral:rRNA from 1 species
UACGUAGGUGGCAAGCGUUGUCCGGAUUUAUUGGGCGUAAAGCGCGCGCAGGUGGUUUCUUAAGUCUGAUGUGAAAGCCCACGGCUCAACCGUGGAGGGUCAUUGGAAACUGGGAGACUUGAGUGCAGAAGAGGAAAGUGGAAUUCCAAGUGUAGCGGUGAAAUGCGUAGAGAUUUGGAGGAACACCAGUGGCGAAGGCGACUUUCUGGUCUGUAACUGACGCUGAGGCGCGAAAAGCAUGGGGGAGCAAACAGG